rnacentral:rRNA from 1 species
GGUUAGAUACCCUAGUAUUGUUUGAAACGUAGAUUAUUAUAUAACGAAAUUUAAUAAUUUUGGCGGUUAACCACUAAUUAAAGGAGCUUGUUUUUAGAAUUUACUCUUUAUAUUUAACAAAUAUUUGUUUAUUUAUCUCCGUUAUUAGAAGGUUUAUUUGUAUAAAAUUUAAAAUUUAUUAUUUCAGGUCAAGAUGUAGCAAUUAUUUGAACGAAUUAGCUACAAUUAUACAAUAAAUGGAUUUUGGGAGGGAAAAUAAAAUGAAAUUGAAUUUAGUUGUAAUUUCUUCUAAAAAGAAAGUGUGAAUUAGUGUGGUUAGUGUAUAUAUUGCCCGUCACUUCGUUUGGAAAAAUAGAAUAAGUCGUAACAUAGU